rnacentral:rRNA from 1 species
GGAAGGAUCAUUACCGAAUCCAAACCUUUUUAUCACACCGUGAACUUGGUCGCGCACUGUGCGUCCGUCUCCUUUCCAGUCGGGGUUGGUUCUCCAUUAAAUCGCAAGCAAAGUCCGCCUGUCGGACUGAGUGCGCGAGCCCCGAUUGGAGACGGCGUGCGUGCGUGGUUUUCUCCUUUCUUUAACCAAGCAAACUUGCAGACUGAACUGUUGGGCUUUUUCGAAAGCUUGUCUUUUGAUCUAAUCGAGGACAACUUUCAACGGUGGAUCUCUUGGCUCGUGGAUCGAUGAAGAACGCAGCAAAACGCGAUAUGUAGUGUGAAUUGCAGAAUUCAGUGAAUCAUCGAAUUUUUGAACGCAAAUGGCGCUCCUGGGUAUUCCCAGGAGCAUGUCUGUCUCAGUGUCGAACUCACCUCGAACGCGCUUCGGCGCGGCGGUCUUGAGGCGUCUGAGAGUCUCAUUAGAGUUCUUUCAGUCCCUUGAAAUGCAGUGGCCGGACGUUGUGCUGCAGCAUGGCCUCGGGUCGGUUUGCCCUGGUUUUGCUCGCACGGCUGAUUCUCUCUGUCGUGUCGCAGCUUCCUUGGCGCACCAGACUUUCAUGCCAGCACACGUCCGAAACAAGCCAGCUCUGGAAACAAACGUUGAAGAGUUCACUCUCUUCUCCAUCUUCGACCUGAGAUCAGGCAAGACUACCCGCUGAAUUUAAGCAUAUUAAUAAGCGGAGGAAAAGAAACUAAC